UGGGGAAUAUUGGGCAAUGGGCGAAAGCCUGACCCAGCAACGCCGCGUGAGGGAAGAAGGCCUUCGGGUUGUAAACCUCUGUCCUUGGUGACGAAAAAAAUGACGGUAGCCAAGGAGGAAGCCCCGGCUAACUACGUGCCAGCAGCCGCGGUAAUACGUAGGGGGCGAGCGUUGUCCGGAAUUACUGGGCGUAAAGGGUGCGUAGGUGGCCUUUUAAGUUGGAUGUGAAAUACCCGGGCUUAACUUGGGGGGUGCAUCUAAUACUGGAGGGCUAGAGUGCAGGAGAGGGAAGCGGAAUUCCUAGUGUAGCGGUGAAAUGCGUAGAUAUUAGGAGGAACACCAGUGGCGAAGGCGGCUUUCUGGACUGUAACUGACACUGAGGCACGAAAGCGUGGGGAGCAAACAG
rnacentral:rRNA from 1 species